CCAAAUUUCUUCCUACUGUGAACUUUUGUUAGACACAAAAACGUUUGAUAUUCUAUCUCUCUGAAACAGACAGAGUUCCGGUUCCGGCCAUGCUUUUUUUACUAGUUCCGGCCGGAACCGGAACUCUAAAAAAUCGGGGUUCCGGCCGGAACUAUCCGGCCGGAACCGAGUUCCGGUGCACCCCUAGUAUAUGCAACAAAUUUUAUAUGACAAGUUUUCAUACGACAAGUUUUAUUUACUGGUGUGAACGUGUCAGAAAAUGGUGUUAAUCGCCACCAUGACAAACCACGACAGAAAAAUUAUAAUAGUCCGCUGGCCAAUCACAUCAAAUGCUCAGAUUACUUUGACAAGUUUUCUUUGUUGACCCAUACAGACGAACAAAAUUCGUACUUUGACAAUUUCUAGCAUGCUAGCUUUUUCAGUUGAACAAGUGCACUUGUCAUAGAAAAACUUGUCAAAGUUGCGCGUACAGACGAGCAAAUAAAACUUGUCACAGAAAACUUGCUCGUCUGUAACCGGCUUUACAGAAGCAUACAAUAGAACAAAGGUAACCAAGCUUUGGAAUUGUUUACAAAAUAAAUGCUUCUGUAAACUAGAACAAUAUCUCUAUCUUUACGACCGUUACGACAUAUGGAAACCUGGUUUAAAGCCGGGUUCACACCAGCAAUUUUGUCGGCGAUUUUGUUUUUCUGACGGAUGCAAAUGAUUGAACUCGCACGCAAAAGUAUAGAGUCGCCUUGCAGAAGUAAACAAUUCUUUUCCAUGUCAUUCGUUCGAUCACAUUUGCCAGCAGGAGAAAAAUCUCCGACAGAUUUGCUCCAGGCUUAAAGAUGAUGUCCACUCCGUUCUGCGCAUCAGUUCUGCUCAUAACAAAGGGAGACCCCCAGAUAUAAAUAAACAUUGCCCAAAAUUUGCAUCUUUCGAACUUUUUUGAAUUGAAACGUACAGUUUAUAUUCAUUUACAAGUAUAGCGAACCAGAAAAGAUUUAGAUAUUCAGUUAGUAUAUCAUAUUUUACAAAUACAGCAGUUCAAAACAUAAACAAAGUUCGCGCAUGUGCACAGGAGUGGACAUCAUCUUUAAACUGUUCUUUUUAUAUGGCAGUUUUUCUUUUCCAGGCGUUCUUUUCCCACGCUUUUCCAAUGCAAAGUAACGGCACGAUUUCUCCUUUUGCAUUCCCACCAUCACCCAACAUCCCUCUAUUCUCCCUCUCACCCACACACCCCCCACACCACAGCAACUCCGCUCCACGCCACGACACCUCCAAGAAAAAAGAGGGUACCUUCAAAUCAACCCCAGGUUCCCAAGACAAGACGUUUGAGUCAAGCAAACGUUCGUCAUGUGCGGAAAGUACAAACAAGACCAAGACAGAUUCGUCGAGUGUUCACAAACAAAAUCUCUUUAUACCACUCCAGGUUUGUACACUGAUCGCAAUGCUAUGGCUGGAUAGUGCAUCUGGUAGUAUCUUCGUGCUCCUUUCUCGUACCCAGAGCCCGUCUCACGCUCGGUCAACACCGCGCUGCACUGACUGCACGUCCUGGACACGAGAAUAGUUUCGCCUACAGUGGAGUUAGGUAUAGGGAACAAUGCG
rnacentral:lncRNA from 1 species